GAGAAGUUUACCUUUCAGGAUAAACUUGAUGCCAGCAUCUGCAAGAAUCCUCUCCAGAUUCUCCAGGGAAAGAGGAUACAUGAAUAAUGAAACCGGAAUGUAAUAUAAGACUGAUAUUUACUAGCCUUCACUGGAUCUUGGAGCAUGAAGAUGGCACAGCUGGCUCCAGCCAAGAAAAGAUCGCUUUCCAGGCAUGAUGAGAAGGAAGCAAACUGUUUGUAGGUACCUCCAGCUGCUUCCUUCACCAGCUGAUGAAAGUAAUUAGAGUGGAUAAAGGCAGGCAAAAAAUGGAUUUCUCUUCCUUGCCAGGGAUAAGAGUCCUUUAAGAUGGGUAAAUUUAACCAUUUUACAGAUGAAGAAAACAGGCUCUCAACAGUAUUAACUUUUCUUUGCUAUGGACCCUCUGGAAUGUGAUAGGGAAGAUACACAGUAGAUUGGUACAGCUCAGCAUCAA